UGUUAAGAGGGGUAGUAUGUAGUGACCCGCUCUUUUAUAUAUUUUAAAUCCAGUAAUGAGUGUUUAUUUUUGUUCAUCAGUGAAUGAAAACGGUUUUUAUCCUAAUAUGAAUUCAGCUUAUGAUCCUGAAUUUAUAUUGUUAAAGCAGUUAAUGAUAUUAUUUCAGAGUUAUAACUGACUUAGCAAAGUCACGUUAUUUAUUUAAGCGAGAUGAAAUUUGAUUUUAUUUUUACUCAGAUCGUGAAUUAUUUCCGACUCAGGAAGUUAAUUAAAUCUGCGGAUUUAAUUUAGAUAUCAGAACAACGAACGAAUUAAAUCUACGGAUUUAAUUUAGAUUCAUUUUAUAAUUUAUCGGUUUUAGUGAGAAAUCACAUGUCGAAAUACGAGAUUUAUUUAAAUAAACAGUAUCAAGCAUAUACGAGCACACGAUCCAUCUUACAGUUACAGAAUCACCGAGACAGAGAAAAUACAUCAAUAAUUCUCCUCUACAUUUUUUUUUCCUUUCUUUUUCUUCUCUUUUUCUUUCCAUUAAUUUUGUUCCCCACUCCAUCAACUCCACUACCCUAUGCUCCCCACCAUCUCCACUACCUUUGCUCCCCAUCAACUCCAACACUUCACCCAUUCCUUCCAUUUCGCACCAGCAAUCACAAAGAGAAGGAAGACUUGGCUUAACUACUUUGCCAAGAUUUCAAGCUGCUCCAGUCCAGUAGUACCCCAACACUCGAAGCUAGAGUUUAUUGGGUGAAAAACCGUGCAUGAGGUCGAGCGCAAGAAUAAGAGCUCGUCAAGGAGUCACUAAUCUGUAGCAAAGCUUUGCUAUCAGGUGGGCAUUACUUUCAUAUAUAUCAAAUGAGUUUAAAUGUUACGUUCAAGCAAGUUAUUUCAUGACUAAAUUAAUUGAAGUUAUUUCAAAUAUUGUCUUGCCAUAAAAUAUUUAAAUUUCAGUAUGAUAUCUAUCUGAUGUGACUUUUAUUAUGCAAUCGAAUUCGGGUCCUGAGCAGUUGAUAGCUAUCCUGCCAGGGCUAGUGUACACCAGUGGCCGUGAGUCAUCUAGCGGGUUGGCCGGUCAAGUGACCGUGAGAGGUGGCCACCUCUCCGGCACAUAGUUCCAGAUAUGAUAGAUUACAAGAGAACUUAGUCUGCAGACGAACUUUAAGAAUCACAAAUGAAUUUAGUAAGCUUGGGCCUUUUUAGCGAAAAACUCCCUUGCUGUACUGUUUAUGAUGGCAUGACAAUUUACAACUUUACGAAGCAUGUUAUAUUUCAUAGUAGGCAUAUGUGCCCACUGAGUACUUUUGUACUCAGCCCUGCAUAUAUUUCUAAAUGUGCAGGUUGAGCAGCUGCCGAUGGUGAUGAAGUGACGAGUGGGACUCUUUUGUCUUAUUAUGUAUUAAUGAACUCUAGGGUUACAUGUCUUCAUACAUGUAAUCAGAACCUUAUUCCGCUGCGUACUCAGAAGUUUUAUGUUAUUUUGGAUAAGUCGGAGUUAUCCGAACUUACUAGUUAUUUGAGUCUAUACGACUAAAACUCCGUUAUAUUAUAAAUAUCCCUGUUGUUAACAAUGAU